rnacentral:rRNA from 1 species
AGAACGAACGCUGGCGGCAGGCUUAACACAUGCAAGUCGAACGAGUGUAGCAAUACACUAGUGGCGCACGGGUGAGUAACGCGUGGAUAUCUACCUUUUGGUUCGGAAUAACCUUGGGAAACCGAGGCUAAUACCGGAUGGUUCCUACGGGAUAAAGAUUUAUCGCCAGAAGAGGAGUCCGCGUCCGAUUAGCUAGUUGGUGAGGUAACGGCUCACCAAGGCGACGAUCAGUAUCC